rnacentral:rRNA from 1 species
GACGAACGCUGGCGGCGUGCUUAACACAUGCAAGUCGAGCGGUAAGGCCCUUUCGGGGGUACACGAGCGGCGAACGGGUGAGUAACACGUGGGUGACCUGCCCUCAGCUCUGGGAUAAGCCUGGGAAACCGGGUCUAAUACUGGAUAUGACUCCAUGACGCAUGUUGUGGGGUGGAAAGCCUUGUGCGGCUGAGGAUGGGCCCGCGGCCUAUCAGCUUGUUGGUGGGGUGANGGCCUACCAAGGCGACGACGGGUAGCCGGCCUGAGAGGGCGACCGGCCACACUGGGACUGAGACACGGCCCAGACUCCUACGGGAGGCAGCAGUGGGGAAUAUUGGACAAUGGGCGCAAGCCUGAUCCAGCGAUGCCGCGUGUGUG